UAAACGUUGACUUCAGGUUUGACACAGAGGACCGAUUCGUAUUCGAACUGACCCUCGGUCGCCAUCUUGACUUUUACUCAAUCGGUGUACGCCGGCGGUGGUGACGAAAUAAAGGCGAGAGACAAAGAUCCUGAGGCGAAGAUUAGGCAUCUGGCUGAGGAACUGGGCCAGUCUGAGGGAGCAGUCGGCACAGGGAGACCAGGAGCAGAACCAGCCCUUACCUCUACAUGGCAGCCAUUUCGAUUGCGGAGGUGACCAAAGUCAAAGGUCAUGGAGUCUGGGCCCACUCGCCUCUUCACUACAAAGCAGAGCUCUGGCCCCAGCCUGCUCGCUCACUCAGUGGUACUGCAUGCAGGCAUCCUGCUUUCCCAUGACUCCCCUCACCCU